rnacentral:rRNA from 1 species
AGGGCAUACGGUGGAUGCCUAGGCGCCAAGAGCCGAAGAAGGACGCGGUAAGCUGCGAAAAGCCACGGGGAACUGCAAGCAAGUAUUGAUCCGUGGAUAUCCGAAUGGGGAAACCCGGCCAUCGUCAUGGAUGGUCACCCGCAAGGGAGGGAACCUGGGGAACUGAAACAUCUAAGUACCCGGAGGAAGAGAAAUCAAACGAGAUGCCCACAGUAGCGGCGAGCGAAGAGGGCAGAGCCCAAACCGAGAAGCUCCGGCUUUUCGGGGUUGAGGACCGGCAGAAUCGAAGUCAGGCCUAGUUGAAUUACCUGGAAAGGUAAGCGAGAGAGGGUAAAAGCCCCGUAGACGAAAGGCAGAGCAGAGAGGCCGAGAUCCAGAGUACCACGAAGCACGAGGAAUUUUGUGGGAAGCAGGGGGGACCACCCUCCAAGGCUAAAAACUACUUGGCGACCGAUAGCGCAUAGUACCGUGAGGGAAAGGUGAAAAGAACCCCGGGAGGGGAGUGAAAUAGUACCUGAAACCGUAUGUCUACAAGCAGUCGAAGCGAAAGCGACGGCGUGCCUAUUGAAGAAUGAACCAACGAGUUAUCUGCACUAGCGAGGUUAAGUGGAAGACACGGAGCCGCAGCGAAAGCGAGUCUUAAGAGGGCGCUAGUUAGUGUAGGUAGACCCGAAACCGCAGUGAUCUACCCAUGUCCAGGUUGAAGCGCAGGUAAAAUUGCGUGGAGGACCGAACCGGUGAGCGUUGAAAAGCUUUCGGAUGAGAUGUGGGUAGGGGUGAAAUUCCAAUCGAACGCGGAGAUAGCUGGUUCUCCCCGAAAUAGCUUUAGGGCUAGCCUGAGGUAGUAAGUAUAGGCGGUAGAGCACUGAUCGGGCUAGGGGCCGUAAAGGUUACCGAACCCUGUCAAACUCCGAAUGGAUAUACUGUAGAGCCUUGGAGUCAGACUACGAGUGAUAAGAUCCGUGGUCAAAAGGGAAACAGCCCAGACCACCAGCUAAGGUCCCCAAUGUCGUACUAAGUGGAAAAGGAUGUGGGGUUUCAUAAACAACCAGGAUGUUGGCUCAGAAGCAGCCACCAUUUAAAGAGUGCGUAAUAGCUCACUGGUCGAGAGACCCUGCGCCGAAGAUUCCCGGGGCUAAAGUACGAAACCGAAGCUGUGGCUGUAUACGUAAAGUAUACGGGGUAGGGGAGCGUUCCCAUAGGGUAGAAGUCGAACUGGAAGGUUCGGUGGACUUGUGGGAAGUGAGAAUGUUGGUAUGAGUAGCGAAAAGAAAGGUGAGAAUCCUUUCCACCGAAAGCAUAAGGAUUCCUGAGCAACGAUCGUCGUCUCAGGGUAAGUCGGGACCUAAUCCGAGGCAGAGAGCGUAGGAGAUGGACAACUGGUUGAUAUUCCAGUACCGGUAGUAAUUGUUUGAGCAAUGGAGUGACACAGAAGGGCAGGCAAGCAUGCGAAUGGAAGAGCAUGUGUAAGCGUGUAGGGUGGUGCAUAGGCAAAUCCGUGCACUGAAAGCCUGAGGCGUGAUGCGGAGUGAGCAGAGAUGCGAGCGAAGUUGUUGACCCCACACUGUCGAGAAAAGCUUCUAGUGAGAGAGCUACCGCCCGUACCGUAAACCGACACAGGUAUGCGGGGAGAGAAUCCUAAGGUGCGCGGGAGAACCCUCGUUAAGGAACUCGGCAAAAUGUACCCGUAACUUCGGGAUAAGGGUAGCCACUGUUGUGAAGUCCCAUGCGGAUGGAGCAUAGAGUGGUCGCAGAGAAGAGGCCCAAGCGACUGUUUACCAUAAACACAGGUGCCUGCUAAAGCGAAAGCUGACGUAUAGGUGCUGACACCUGCCCAGUGCCGGAAGGUUAAGGAAGGAUGUUCGGAUUAGUCCAAAGCAUUCGACUGAAGCCCCGGUGAACGGCGGCCGUAACUAUAACGGUCCUAAGGUAGCGAAAUUCCUUGUCGGGUAAGUUCCGACCCGCACGAAAGGUGUAACGAUUUGGGCACUGUCUCAACGAGGGACCCGGUGAAAUUGAAAUACCUGUGAAGAUGCAGGUUACCCGCGACUGGACAGAAAGACCCCAUGGAGCUUUACUGUAACCUGACAUUGGGUUUUGAUACAUUACGUACAGGAUAGGUGGGAGGCUUGGAAAGCUGGACGCUAGUCUGGCUGGAGCCGACGUUGGGAUACCACCCUUGAUGUAUUGAAAUUCUAACCGCGAGAGUAACGAAAUCCGGGACAGUGUCAGGCGGGCAGUUUGACUGGGGCGGUCGCCUCCGAAAGAGUAACGGAGGCGCCCAAAGGUUCCCUCAGCGCGGCCGGAAAUCGCGCGAA